rnacentral:rRNA from 1 species
AGAGUUUGAUCCUGGCUCAGGACGAACGCUGGCGGCGCGCCUAACACAUGCAAGUCGAACGAGCGAGAGAGAGCUUGCUUUCUCGAGCGAGUGGCGAACGGGUGAGUAACGCGUGAGGAACCUGCCUCAAAGAGGGGGACAACAGUUGGAAACGACUGCUAAUACCGCAUAAGCCCACAGCUCGGCAUCGAGCAGAGGGAAAAGGAGCAAUCCGCUUUGAGAUGGCCUCGCGUCCGAUUAGCUAGUUGGUGAGGUAAUGGCCCACCAAGGCAACGAUCGGUAGCCGGACUGAGAGGUUGAACGGCCACAUUGGGACUGAGACACGGCCCAGACUCCUACGGGAGGCAGCAGUGGGGAAUAUUGCACAAUGGGGGAAACCCUGAUGCAGCGACGCCGCGUGGAGGAAGAAGGUCUUCGGAUUGUAAACUCCUGUUGUUGAGGAAGAUAAUGACGGUACUCAACAAGGAAGUGACGGCUAACUACGUGCCAGCAGCCGCGGUAAAACGUAGGUCACAAGCGUUGUCCGGAAUUACUGGGUGUAAAGGGAGCGCAGGCGGGAAGACAAGUUGGAAGUGAAAUCUAUGGGCUCAACCCAUAAACUGCUUUCAAAACUGUUUUUCUUGAGUAGUGCAGAGGUAGGCGGAAUUCCCGGUGUAGCGGUGGAAUGCGUAGAUAUCGGGAGGAACACCAGUGGCGAAGGCGGCCUACUGGGCACCAACUGACGCUGAGGCUCGAAAGUGUGGAUAGCAAACAGGAUUAGAUACCCUGGUAGUCCACACCGUAAACGAUGAUUACUAGGUGUUGGAGGAUUGACCCCUUCAGUGCCGCAGUUAACACAAUAAAGUAAUCCACCUGGGGAGUACGACCGCAAGGUUGAAACUCAAAGGAAUUGACGGGGGCCCGCACAAGCAGUGGAGUAUGUGGUUUAAUUCGACGCAACGCGAAGAACCUUACCAAGUCUUGACAUCCUGCGACGAUGCUGGAAACAGUAUCUUCCUUCGGGACGCAGAGACAGGUGGUGCAUGGUUGUCGUCAGCUCGUGUCGUGAGAUGUUGGGUUAAGUCCCGCAACGAGCGCAACCCUUACUGUCAGUUACUACGCAAGAGGACUCUGGCAGGACUGCCGUUGACAAAACGGAGGAAGGUGGGGAUGACGUCAAAUCAUCAUGCCCUUUAUGACUUGGGCUACACACGUACUACAAUGGCGUUAAACAAAGAGAAGCAAGACCGCGAGGUGGAGCAAAACUCAGAAACAACGUCCCAGUUCGGACUGCAGGCUGCAACUCGCCUGCACGAAGUCGGAAUUGCUAGUAAUCGUGGAUCAGCAUGCCACGGUGAAUACGUUCCCGGGCCUUGCACACACCGCCCGUCA